GACGAACCGUGCGAACGUUGUUCGGAAUCACUGGGCUUAAAGGGCGCGUAGGCGGGCGGUCAAGUCCGGGGUGAAAUCUUUCGGCUCAACCGGAAAAGGGCCUCGGAUACUGACUGUCUUGAGGAAGGUAGGGGCAUGCGGAACUUCCGGUGGAGCGGUGAAAUGCGUUGAUAUCCGAAGGAACGCCGGUGGCGAAAGCG
rnacentral:rRNA from 1 species